UGGCUCAGAUUGAACGCUGGCGGCAGGCCUAACACAUGCAAGUCGAGCGGAUGACGGGAGCUUGCUCCUUGAUUCAGCGGCGGACGGGUGAGUAAUGCCUAGGAAUCUGCCUGGUAGUGGGGGACAACGUUUCGAAAGGAACGCUAAUACCGCAUACGUCCUACGGGAGAAAGCAGGGGACCUUCGGGCCUUGCGCUAUCAGAUGAGCCUAGGUCGGAUUAGCUAGUUGGUGAGGUAAUGGCUCACCAAGGCGACGAUCCGUAACUGGUCUGAGAGGAUGAUCAGUCACACUGGAACUGAGACACGGUCCAGACUCCUACGGGAGGCAGCAGUGGGGAAUAUUGGACAAUGGGCGAAAGCCUGAUCCAGCCAUGCCGCGUGUGUGAAGAAGGUCUUCGGAUUGUAAAGCACUUUAAGUUGGGAGGAAGGGCAGUAAGUUAAUACCUUGCUGUUUUGACGUUACCGACAGAAUAAGCACCGGCUAACUCUGUGCCAGCAGCCGCGGUAAUACAGAGGGUGCAAGCGUUAAUCGGAAUUACUGGGCGUAAAGCGCGCGUAGGUGGUUCGUUAAGUUGGAUGUGAAAGCCCCGGGCUCAACCUGGGAACUGCAUCCAAAACUGGCGAGCUAGAGUACGGUAGAGGGUGGUGGAAUUUCCUGUGUAGCGGUGAAAUGCGUAGAUAUAGGAAGGAACACCAGUGGCGAAGGCGACCACCUGGCACUGAUACUGACACUGAGG
rnacentral:rRNA from 1 species